UACGUAGGGUGCGAGCGUUAAUCGGAAUUACUGGGCGUAAAGCGUGCGCAGGCGGUUGGUUAAGUCUGAUGUGAAAGCCCCGGGCUCAACCUGGGAAUGGCAUUGGAAACUGGCUGGCUAGAGUGUGGCAGAGGGGGGUGGAAUUCCGCGUGUAGCAGUGAAAUGCGUAGAGAUGCGGAGGAACACCGAUGGCGAAGGCAGCCCCCUGGGCUGACACUGACGCUCAGGCACGAAAGCGUGGGGAGCAAA
rnacentral:rRNA from 1 species